GGGACAACCGAGGACGUGCAUUUCUCAGCACCCAGUCAACUGCCAAAAGUGACUCAAACACAGGCCACCAGUGGAACUCGGCUGUACCACUGCAGUGCUGUGGAAAUUGCCUUCACCAGCGGCUUUGCAACAGCUGUUUCGCAGCAUGUCGGAGACAAUGCCUACGAAAUUAUUGGCC
rnacentral:lncRNA from 1 species